rnacentral:ncRNA from 1 species
CCACUCUUCCUAUCAUUGUGAAGCAGAACUCACCAAGCGUUGGGAUUGUUCACCAACAGGGAACGUGAGCUGGGUUUAGACCGUCGUAAGACAGGUU